rnacentral:rRNA from 1 species
GUCUAUGGCCAUGCUGCCCUGAACAAGCCUGAACACGUCUGAUCUCGGAAGCUAAGCAGGGUUAGGCCUGGUUAGUACUUGGAUGGGAGACGACCUAGGAAAACCAGGUGCUGUAGGCA